rnacentral:tRNA from 1 species
GCGAUUAGCUCAGCGGGAGAGCGCUUCCCUGACACGGAAGAGGUCACUGGUUCAAUCCCAGUAUCGCGCACCAUU